rnacentral:rRNA from 1 species
CGUGCAGGCGGUUUGGUAAGUCAGAUGUGAAAGCCCCGGGCUCAACCCGGGAAGUGCAUUUGAAACUACCUUUCUUGAGUAUGGGAGAGGAGAGUGGAAUUCCCAGUGUAGAGGUGAAAUUCGUAGAUAUUGGGAGGAACACCGGUGGCGAAGGCGACUCUCUGGACCAAUACUGACGCUGAGACGCGAAAGCGUGGGGAGCAAACAGGAUUAGAUACCCUGGUAGUCC